UCCUCUAUAGAUUUCGCGUCAGGGCAAGGCGGCAAGAAAGUGAAUCCCCAGGAGCAUAGGCCACUAUGUGACUGGGGUGAACG
rnacentral:sRNA from 1 species